UUAAAUUGAAGAGUUUGAUCAUGGCUCAGAUUGAACGCUGGCGGCAGGCCUAACACAUGCAAGUCGGGCGGUAGCACAGA
rnacentral:rRNA from 1 species